UACGUAGGCAGCGAGCGUUGUUCGGAGUUACUGGGCGUAAAGGGUGUGUAGGCGGUUGUUUAAGUUUGGUGUGAAAUCUCCCGGCUCAACUGGGAGGGUGCGCCGAAUACUGAAUGACUCGAGUGCGGGAGAGGAAAGUGGAAUUCCUGGUGUAGCGGUGAAAUGCGUAGAUAUCCGGAGGAACACCAGUGGCGAAAGCGGCCACCUGGACUGCACCUGACGCUGACACGCGAAAGCUAGGGGAGCGAACGGG
rnacentral:rRNA from 1 species